rnacentral:rRNA from 1 species
UACGUAGGUGGCAAGCGUUGUCCGGAUUUACUGGGCGUAAAGGAUGCGUAGGCGGACAUUUAAGUCAGAUGUGAAAUACCCGAGCUUAACUUGGGUGCUGCAUUUGAGACUGGGUGUCUAGAGUGCAGGAGAGGUAAGUGGAAUUCCUAGUGUAGCGGUGAAAUGCGUAGAGAUUAGGAAGAACACCAGUGGCGAAGGCGAGUCUCUGGACAUUUCCUGACGCUGAGGCACGAAAGCCAGGGGAGCAAACGGG